UACGGAGGAUGCGAGCGUUAUCCGGAUUUAUUGGGUUUAAAGGGUGCGUAGGCGGCCGAGUAAGUCAGCGGUGAAAUUUUGCAGCUUAACUGUAACAGUGCCGUUGAUACUGCAUGGCUAGGAUUUGGUUGCUGUGGGUUGGAAUGUGUGGUGUAGCGGUGAAAUGCUUAGAUAUCACACAGAAUAUCAAUUGCGAAGGCAGCUCACAAAGCCACAUCUGACGCUGAGGCACGAAAGCGUGGGGAG
rnacentral:rRNA from 1 species